rnacentral:rRNA from 1 species
UACGUAGGGUGCGAGCGUUAAUCGGAAUUACUGGGCGUAAAGCGUGCGCAGGCGGUUCGUUGUGUCGGCGGUGAAAGCCCCGGGCUUAACCUGGGAAUGGCCGUUGAAACUGGCGAACUGGAGUGUGGCAGAGGGGGGUGGAAUUCCGCGUGUAGCAGUGAAAUGCGUAGAUAUCUGGAGGAACACCGGUGGCGAAGGCGGCAUCCUGGACCGGUAUUGACGCUGAGGCGCGAAAGCCAGGGAGCAAGCGGG